CCUACGGGAGGCAGCAGUGGGGAAUAUUGCGCAAUGGGGGAAACCCUGACGCAGCAACGCCGCGUGAGUGAGGAAGGACUUCGGUCUGUAAAGCUCUGUUAAUGAGGAAAAAUGGUAGUUGGUCUAAUAGGCCGAUUAUUUGAUGGUACUCAUAGAGGAAGCACCGGCUAACUUCGUGCCAGCAGCCGCGGUAAUACGAAGGGUGCAAGCGUUGUUCGGAUUUAUUGGGCGUAAAGCGCGCGUAGGCGGACCCGCAAGUCAGAUGUGAAAUCUCGAGGCUCAACCUCGAAACUGCGUCUGAAACUACGGGUCUAGAAUCUCGGAGGGGGAAGGGGAAUUUCGCAUGUAGGGGUAAAAUCCGUAGAUAUGCGAAGGAACACCAGAGGCGAAGGCGCCUUCCUGGACGAGUAUUGACGCUGAGGCGCGAAAGCGUGGGGAUCAAACAGGAUUAGAUACCCUGGUAGUCCACGCUGUAAACCGAUGAACACUAGGUAUUGGAGGUAUUUCGACCCCUUCUAGUGCGUAGCUACGUACGUUAGUGUUCCGUCCGUGGAGGUACGGUCGCGAGACGAAACUACGAAGAAGUAGACGGCGUGAGACGUGCCGACGGACGACGACGAGGGAGGAGG
rnacentral:rRNA from 1 species